rnacentral:rRNA from 1 species
UACGUAGGGUGCGAGCGUUGUCCGGAAUUAUUGGGCGUAAAGAGCUCGUAGGCGGUGUGUCACGUCGGCCGUGAAAACCUGCAGCUUAACUGUGGGCGUGCGGUCGAUACGGGCAUCACUGGAGUUCGGCAGGGGAGACUGGAAUUCCCGGUGUAGCGGUGAAAUGCGUAGAUAUCGGGAGGAACAUCAGUGGCGAAGGCGGCUACCUGGCCCAAUACUGACACUCAGGUGCGACAGCGUGGGGAGCAAACAGG